AAAACAUAGGCCCAAGAAAGAAAAAAAAAUAAAAAUAAAAUCAAGAAAACCAAUUUAAGCCAGAUUGUUUCAUGGCCAUGGGGUUAAAAAAGAAAAUAGAAAAGCAAGAUAGUUUCGUAAUCUAGGUUUGCUUCGAAAUAUCUUUCCGUACUGCUCUCAGUUAUCUCUCCGAAUGGCUAUGACAAACUCAGCUCCUCCUCCCUAUGUCCGCUCGCGGCGUCAUUCCGUUGCGGUUUAGGGUUCUAAAGCUCUCCCUCUCUCUCUGAUUAUACUAUUUUCACGAGGUCACUGCAUGGAGGGAUACCGAGUGCAUUCGAAAGAAUUGAUGCAAUGAUAUUUGCAGUGAUAUUUAUCCUUCCACAAGUGCAACGUGGGAUAUUUGCACAUAUUAAUGGACCUUUGUUGUGUUGUUUUAGUGGAGAUUGCUCCAAAUGCUUUUGAGAUAGCCUCAUAAGACCUGCUCCAUGGUUCACAAACUGGAAAAGAAUACAUCAACAUUCAAAAUAACUCUUAUUGAAGUUGUUGAUGCUCAAAGUUCACUGCUGUGGAGUGGAAAGUUUGGAACAAAAGAUUCAUAUUAAAGCCCGGUGGACAUUGAUCUUUAAGAGUGAUUAUUUGUCAAUCAAAAUCAAGAUUUGAUCUGUAGAUCUACAUCAAAUAUCAGUAGAUAAAAUCUAUACAAAAAGUGUUUGGACUUAAGAAUGGCUGUGUUCCUAAAUUUGUGAUUUCGGCCAACUACAACCACACCGAAAACAAAGUCAUCUUCAUUGAAUUUAAGAGUACUAGUUAACUAUCAGGUAGAUGGUGGGGUUGAUGACAGGUACUGUUGUAACGGAUAUUAUUCGUGAACUUUGAGAAGUCAUUGCAAAAAGAAGAUACUUUGGGGGAACACUUAUAAAAAAAGAAGAAGAUACUUUGGGGGAAUCUUGUGGUUUGUAAACCUUUAACUGUUUGCUUGUAUUGCAAAAGGAAGAUACUUUUGGGGAACCCUCUAGUUUGUAAAUCUUAAGUUGUUUGCUUGUAUUAAAAACAAAUUGUGGCUUUUUUA